UACAGAGGGGGCAAGCGUUGUUCGGAAUUAUUGGGCGUAAAGAGCUCGUAGGCGGUUUGUCGCGUCGGCCGUGAAAUCUCCACGCUUAACGUGGAGCGUGCGGUCGAUACGGGCAGACUUGAGUUCGGUAGGGGAGACUGGAAUUCCUGGUGUAGCGGUGAAAUGCGCAGAUAUCAGGAGGAACACCGGUGGCGAAGGCGGGUCUCUGGGCCGAUACUGACGCUGAGGAGCGAAAGCGUGGGGAGCGAACAGG
rnacentral:rRNA from 1 species